rnacentral:tRNA from 1 species
GCGGUCAUAGCUCAGUUGGUUAGAGCGCGACACUGAUAAUGUCGAGGUCCCAAGUUCAAAUCUUGGUGACCGCACCA